CCCUCCUACACCAACAACAAGGGUCGUCACAACAACUCCAGGAGCCGCCCCGACGCUGUCAAGUGUCAAAUAUGCGGCAAGACCGGUCACUCAGCAAGGGAUUGCUGGUACCGGUUUGAGGAGGAUGAAGGAGAAUCCUCGCAAGAUGAGAAGGUCGCUGGUGCUGCAGAAGCCUCAUACGGGGUUGAUACAAACUUGUAUGUUGAUAGUGGCGCUACAAAUCACAUCACUUGUGAACUUGAAAAGGUGACUAUGCAGGAGAAGUACGGCGGCCAAGACCAGAUACAUACAGCAAGUGGAUCAGGUAUGAGGAUUAAACAUGUUGGUCAUUCAGUUUUCCAAACCCCUCACCGAAAGAUUCAUCUAAGAAAAAUUCUUCAUGUCCCUAGUGCAUCUAAAAAUCUACUCUCCGUUCAUCGCAUUUCCAUUGACAAUCAUAUCUUUCUCGAGUUUCACCCCUUUUUCUUUUUGAUCAAGGAUCAGGCAACGAGGAAGGUGCUCUACCGAGGUAGAUGUGUUCGCAGGCUUUACCCAUUGAUUCCGGAG
rnacentral:rRNA from 1 species